rnacentral:rRNA from 1 species
GACGAACGCUGGCGGCGUACCUAAUACAUGCAAGUCGAGCGGACUUUCAAGAAGCUUGCUUUCUGAAAGUUAGCGGCGGACGGGUGAGUAACACGUGGGCAACCUGCCUGUAAGACGGGGAUAACUCCGGGAAACCGGGGCUAAUACCGGAUAAUAUCUUUCUUCGCAUGAAGGAAGGUUGAAAGGCGGCGCAAGCUGCCGCUUGCAGAUGGGCCCGCGGCGCAUUAGCUAGUUGGUGAGGUAACGGCUCACCAAGGCGACGAUGCGUAGCCGACCUGAGAGGGUGAUCGGCCACACUGGGACUGAGACACGGCCCAGACUCCUACGGGAGGCAGCAGUAGGGAAUCUUCCGCAAUGGACGAAAGUCUGACGGAGCAACGCCGCGUGAGCGAAGAAGGUCUUCGGAUCGUAAAGCUCUGUUGUCAGGGAAGAACAAGUACCGUUCGAAUAGGGCGGUACCUUGACGGUACCUGACCAGAAAGCCACGGCUAACUACGUGCCAGCAGCCGCGGUAA